rnacentral:lncRNA from 10 species
GAUUAGUCAGUGAAUUAAAGAGAGUUCUUGUUCCUGGAUAAUUUGGAAUGAACACAUUUCCUGUUCACUCAGAGAUACAGCAGCGAGUUUAUUCUGGGUGGCUUCCACAGUGACCAUUGUGGAGAAGAAAUCUUGUAAUAUAAUUGAAGAACAAUAGCCAUAUAAUUAACACAGAUGUUCAGGUAUGAGUCAUUGAAAAAUUAUCAUCCUUACUGUGAAAUAAGAUUGGUCAAGGCGAGGCUGGUCCUUCAAAGAAGGAAAACCCAACAUGGUGCAAUGUGUGCUGCAGAUACCUUGACUAUGAAUAAUAGUUUCAAUAAGGAAGACAGAAUGAGUUCUGACACGAUGGUUGGGAGCUGUGACAGGCAGACGAAAAAUGGAGCCAAAUGGCAUGGAGGUGUCAUGAUGUUGGAACAGUAACAAUAACUCAACCAACCAGGGCUUGUCUGAAUACAAUCCUACAGCAGCAGGAGCUGUGGAGAUAUAGAAGGCAAGGAAGACCAGGUUGUGAGGGAAGACGAAUUUACUCCCAGGAAUGUUGGGAUUGAGAGUAAUAUUCUCCAAUAAUGGUGGAAGACAGAACAAUAAAAGCCCACCAGCUCCUUCUGCAUGGUGGGAUAAGAGAAAAGCCAAGGGCAGAAGUGAGAAAAAUAACCAUCACCAAACUGAAAAGAAAACCUUUAUAAAAAAACUGGAUUGAUAAAUGACCUUUAGUAGUGGAAAGAUACCAUUCCAAUGAAGCAUGAAUUGAAAGGAUUUCUUCUGAAAGCUAAUUUACAUUUUUCUUUUUUUUUUUUUCAUUUUCAGUGUGUUUUAGCAGGUGUAUUGUUCUACAUGGUUAGUUUCUUUACCUCUUUGAGAAAAAUGGGUCAGCUUGACACAUCUGGAUGAAAGAAUCCGUUAGGUGAUUAUGAUUGAAGACAGAUUAAGCCUUGUUAUGAGGGGAAUAUUUGGGGGCUUACCCUGAGGUGAUAUUUGAUGAUUUAGCUGUGGGAGAAUUUCCCUCCCAAGAUCAGCGUGACUGACACUGAAAUUGCUACAGGGGAACCGGACCUUUCCAAGAGGUGACAAGGACAUUUACCUGGUACAACACAAUGGUUCUGGACUGGAAGUCUAGUCCCAUUGAUGAAGUUCCCAAAAGAUGUCCAGGUCCUAAUCCCUGGAAUCUGUGAAUAUGUCAUCUUACACAUCAAAAGAACUUUGAAAAUGUGAUUGAGGUUAAGGACCUUGGAAUGAGGAGAUUACCUUGGAUUAUCUGGUUGGGUCCAAGCUAAUCACAUGAGUCCUUAAAGGAGAAGAACCUUUUUUAGCUGGGUCAGAGAGAGAUGUGAUGAUGAAAACAGGCUCAGGGAGAUGCACUGUAAGAAGGGCUUGACCAGUUGUUUUUGACUUUGAAGAUGGAGGGAAGGGCCAGGAGCCAAGGAAGGUGGGUGGCUUUUGGAAGGUGGAAAAAGCAAGGGAACAUUCUCUCCAGAGCCUCCAGAAAGGAGCUCAGCCCUGUUGACAUCUUUGUUUUUAUUUUUUAUUUUUAGUAGCAUUGAGGUCUCACUAUGUUGCACAGGCUGGUCUUGAACUCUUGAGCUCAAGCACUCCUCCCGCCUUGGCUUCCCAAAGUGCUGGGAUUAUAGGCAUGUGCCACCACAUCUGGCUUCCUACUGACAUCUUAACUUUAGUGCAGUGAGACUCAUAUUUGAAUUUCUGACCUUAUAUUAUAGAACCAUAAGACAUUAUAGAAUUAUAUAGAAUUAUAGAACCAUAAGACAAUAACUUUGUGUUGUUUUAAGAUACUAAAUUUUUGGUAAUUUGUUAUGGCAGCACAAUAAAACCAAUAUAGCAUUAUAUUAUGCCAAUAUCAUCUCUUUGUUGACUAUUGCUAUUAUAGUUUGUUUUAUGGGUCUUGUGUAAACAAUCAAGCUAUAAUAUUGGGUUAACUCCCUAAGGAAAACUUGGAAUAUAGAACAUUAUUUUAAAGACUGAAUUAGGUAAAUACACCUGCCAGUGAAUACAUUAACAAAUUAAUUAAUAUAUUCACUCUUUUCACUCACAAAUACUUUUUGAGCCCCUAUUACUAGCCAAACAUUUUGUUAGAUUCUGAGAAGGGUCUGCUAGACAACAUUGUGACUAUAGUUAAUAACAAUAUAUUGUACUCUUGAAAAUUACUAAGAGAGUAGAUUUUAAGUGUUCUCACCACAAAAAAUAAGUAUGUGAGGUAAUGCAGAUGUUAGUUAGCUUGAUUUAGCCAUUCCCCAGUGUAUACAUAUUUCAAACCUUCAUAUUAUACAUGGAUAAAUAUAUACAAUUUUUAUUUGUCAAUUAAAAGCCCCUCGAUGAAUACAGUUUCCAUUCUGUCCUUGAGGUGGAGCUUGUAGACUUGGUGGGGUCCGGGGAUCAACUUUUAAACAGGCAGUUCCAAAGUGUGGAGUGGAUAGGCUUAUUCUCUUUGUUGCUUUUAUGAUAGGUAUUUAGAAUGCACUUUCCUCUGUUAAGUUAAGCCAGCCACCAUUCCCUCAUUCAGUUUCCAUCCUCCAUGAAUUUGCUCACAUCUGCGGUCUACUGUCACUCAUUCUUUCCUUCUCUUCCUGAGGGCUUGUGUGACUUAUGUUCUUGGCUUUCUCUUAGGAACAUGGUGCAGCUUGGCCCUGCAUUAUCCAUCUGGAAAAACAGAUCAUAAAACAGUCCUUCUCUGUACUAAGUGCUAAAGUAGGAGGAAGGGCAUAAGUCAGCUCCCUGAGCUAUAUAUCCUUGUUUUCAGGAGCUGAGCUAGACACAAGCAGAACUUGCAAAUAAUUUACAUUUCUUUCUGCUGAGGUGGUUCAGAAUAAGUUGCAACAAACAUGAACAGGAAUGGUGCAGUAAAU